CUACGGGGGGCUGCAGUGAGGAAUAUUGCACAAUGGGGGGAACCCUGAUGCAGCAACGCCGCGUGGAGGAUGACGCAUUUCGGUGUGUAAACUCCUUUUAUAUGUCAAGAAAAUGACGGUAGCAUAUGAAUAAGCACCGGCUAACUCCGUGCCAGCAGCCGCGGUAAUACGGAGGGUGCAAGCGUUACUCGGAAUCACUGGGCGUAAAGGACGCGUAGGCGGGUUGGAAAGUCAGGUGUGAAAUCCUACAGCUUAACUGUAGAACUGCACUUGAAACUUCUAAUCUAGAGUAUGGGAGGGGGAGAUGAAAUUAGUGGUGUAGGGGUAAAAUCCGUAGAUAUCACAGGAAUACCUAAAGCGAAGGCGAUCUCCUGGAACAUUACUGACGCUAAGGCGUGAAAGCGUGGGGAGCAAACAGGAUUAGAUACCCCCGUAGUC
rnacentral:rRNA from 1 species